rnacentral:misc_RNA from 1 species
AACGCACAUUGCGCCCUUUGGUAUUCCGAAGGGCAUGCCUGUUCGAGCGUCGUUAAACAAAUCAAGCCUUGCUUGGUAUUGGGCUUUCGUCUUGACGAUUCAUUUUGUUGAAACGGGCCCCAAAGACAUAGGCGGAGUGGCUAGACCCCCCGGCGUAGUGGAAUUUCAAAACGUCAAGAGGGUCAAUCAUCUUCAGUCACAUAAACCAAAACUCAACCAAAGUUUGACCUCGGAUCAGGUAGGGAUACCCGCUGAACUUAA